GGUUGUGGCUCAGAGGCAGAGCGUUUGCUUAGCAUGAGUGAGGCACUGGGUUCGAACCUCAGCACCA
rnacentral:tRNA from 1 species